CCCAAAAGCGUUGAGCUGAUACAAAAGAUACCCAAGCAGCUCCAAAUCAAGCAAAAACCAGAUGAAACUAACCAAUGAGCAAAGCCACACGAAAGAGAGAAAGCAACAAACAUUGCCACUUGCGUCGGAUUCGCUCGAAAUCUUGCUGAUCAAAACCGGAUCUGAAUCAAACAACCUAGAACGACCCACCAUGUCUCUUGCAAAGUCGGCGACUCAAAGAAACGCAACAACGGAGGAAUAAACACGGACGAAUGGAAG
rnacentral:lncRNA from 1 species